rnacentral:rRNA from 1 species
AACGAACGCUGGCGGCAUGCCUAACACAUGCAAGUCGAACGAGACCUUCGGGUCUAGUGGCGCACGGGUGCGUAACGCGUGGGAACCUGCCCUUAGGUUCGGAAUAACUCCCCGAAAGGGGUGCUAAUACCGGAAAAUGUCUUCGGACCAAAGAUUUAUCGCCUUUGGAUGGGCCCGCGUUGGAUUAGCUAGUUGGUAGGGUAAAAGCCUACCAAGGCGACGAUCCAUAGCUGGUCUGAGAGGAUGAUCAGCCACACUGGGACUGAGACACGGCCCAGACUCCUACGGGAGGCAGCAGUGGGGAAUAUUGGACCAUGGGCGAAAGCCUGAUCCAGCAAUGCCGCGUGAGUGAUGAAGGCCUUAGGGUUGUAAAGCUCUUUUACCCGGGAUGAUAAUGACAGUACCGGGAGAAUAAGCUCCGGCUAACUCCGUG